ACUAAGGCGUUGGAAAUUGGAAAGCCAAUUAAAAUGUAAACAACAGCUGAUGCUGAAGUAAAUGAAACCACGAAGAACAGUUUAAUUUAUCGUUACUUGAGAUGGAACGCUUGUUUUUCGUCGAUUCAGUAUAAAUGUUAAUUGAUAAAUUCGCUUGAUUCAAGUAGUUUGCAGUAUUUGACAUAAGUUAAUGUUUGUUUACAUUUGACGUCGAGACGUUGGCGAAGGCUGACGUCUGAUUCAUUAGUCUGCCAGUCGUCAUUUUACGCUUACUAUCGCUGUGAGUAAUUACUAUAACGGCGUCGUUACUAUUACGGAUUCAUUCACAGACGAACUACAAAACCCGACGACGAGGUCACGAAGGUCUAAUCAGAAGAGGGAGUGACAGGUCAGGGACACACGAGAUCAAUCCUACGGUUCUAUGAAACGAAGAUGUCAGGGAAAAGCUUCCAGUCAGUAGUAGACACCACUGUUGAUGAAUGUUGAACCCAGUACUACAGUGAGUUUUGGCUCAGCAAACGAAGAAGAACAGAAUGUGAUAUUUCUCAGCAACUGUAUUACAUUUUUUCCUUUUUGGGUAUGAUGGCUUAUUUAUUAGAAGUCUCCAUGAGUUCAUGUAACAAGGAGUCCUCUGUUGCCAAGGUUUAAUAGUAAGUUGUUGAAAAUUCCAUUGGCUCUCUUUUUGUCAACUGACAUUACUGUUUUCUUUAAGGAUGUUAUUCAUAUGUUUAUAAUUCCUUUCUAACAUAUGUUCAGUUUUCUAGUGGGAUUUAUUUUUUUUAUUGAAGAUUACCAUCUGUCCCAGUGUGUUGAUAUACCGGGAAUUCUCUUUAUUGUGUGAUCCCUAUUGCAAAAGAAUUUGUCUCUGCUGAUAAUGUGCAGUCAUUUUUAUUCAGUUUAGAACAUUUUCUUCAUAAAAUUCCAAACGUUUGGUUUAUGCCAGAGUUGCGAUUUACAGCUAAGCAUUCAUAGGAAGUUUUGAGGAAAUAUCAAGAUAAAAUUUGUUGAUUACAUAUAUUAUUUAUAUUAUUUUUAAGAUGCAUAUGCAUUUUCCUUAAUAAAAUAGUUCCUGCAAGUGAAAGUAAAGCGUUUUGUAUAUUUAUAUAAAAAGUGUACUGUAUAUAAAUGAAUAUACAUUGGUAUUUUACUAAGUGAAAUAGCUUAAGUCUACCUAAUGGUGUAUGCAUAUAAUUCGUAAUUAUUUCAGUAAGACUUGUUAAGCAUUGAAUUUGGUUCAAAGUAACGAGAAAUUCCAAGGAAAAUUAUGUUAUGAGUGAAGAAUAUGUUGAAUGUAAUAACAGGUAUUUGAAUAGUGAAUUUCAUAAUCUUGUCUUAAGGUUUAGUGAUUCUGUACACAGUGCUUAACAAAAUUCAUGUACAGUGGUAUGUAAAAUCACUAGAAGGAUCUUGUCAGUAGUUUUUAGCUGUGCAAAACAGUUUUGAUUACACUCAGAAUCAUUUUAUAUCAAACAUGGAGCCAGAUUUAAGCAGUAGGCAAAUUUUUGAUAUGGCAACACUGAGUUACAAGGAGGGUGAAGGAUUUCCUUGUAAGGAGUGUGGUGGAGGGUGCAGUGAGAAGUCCUAUCUUCAUAAGCACACGAGAAUUCACCCUGAGGAGAAGCCUUCGUUUACGUGCACAGAAUGCGGGAAAAUAUUCAGCCAGAAAUCUUAUCUCGAUCAGCAUUCAAAGAUCCACACGGGAGAGAAGACGUACUCUUGCAAAGAGUGUGGGAAAGUCUUUGUUAAUAAGAGCUAUCUUGAAGUCCACAUGAGAGCCCACUCAGGAGAGAAGCCUUUUAUCUGCGGAGUAUGCAGUAAAGGCUUCACGGUGAAGAGCAACCUCAAAGUCCACAUGAGAACACACUCGGUAGAAAGACCAUUCACAUGUAGAGAUUGUGGAAAGGGGUUUACCGUGAAGAGUAAUCUUAAAGUGCAUAUGAGAAUACACACUGUAGAGAAGCCUUUCAUUUGCAUUGAAUGCAGUAAGGGAUUUACGGUUAAAAGUAAUCUCACGGUGCAUAUGAGAACACACACAAUAGAAAAACCCUACAGCUGUAGGGAAUGUGGUAAGGAAUUUGCCGUUAAGAGUAAUCUGAAAGUGCAUAUGAGGACGCACUCGGUAGAAAAGCCAUUCAACUGUAGGGAGUGUGGUAAGGGCUUCACAGUGAAAAGUAAUCUUAAGGUGCAUAUGGCAACCCAUAGUAGGGAUGCUAUUCACUUAUAAAUCUCAAGAUUAGGGAUUUUAGUUAUCUUAAAAGAGGGUAGUAUUAAUGCCGUAGUUCACUCAGGAGAGGAAACUGCAUGACUUUGGGAAGGGAUGUAGUAAUUGCAGUACUGUAUGAAUUACUGCACAUUGUUAGAAUGCACAAGACAGCAGUCAUAAAGAACAGUUUAGUCUUAAAUAUAUUGAAUUAUCUAUAGAGGAGUUGAGAAGUCUAGCGCUUCUUAAUAAUGAAAGUGUUCAAGAGCUUUCCAUAUGCUGAAAGGCUUAGUAGGCAAUAAAGCCAUUAGUUAAAUGUGAAUCUUCACAGGUACAGUCAGAUUGUCUCUGGUGCUGAUAAGAUGACAAAAAUUAAAUUUGAAGAAAGUCCUAGUUUAUAUUCUGGUAUUACUGGUUUAGAUAUUACCAUGAGGGACCAUUGUUAUUAGUUAAGGCUACUACUGGACAUUGAUAAGUUGAACAGGAGAGAUAAAACUACAAUUUAUAGAUUUUAGUAAAGAACUUGCAUUGCCACACCAAGAACAGGGAGCUCAUUGUAGUCAAAAGAGGAAGGAAAUGCAGUUCUUGUAGCAGUAAAAUACAUAAACUAUUUUUCAAAUAGUUCAUUCUCAUCAACUUUGGAAAUUCAUACUAAUUAAUGCUUAAAUUGUAGUCAAGGGAAAAAGUAUUGUAAUGUCAUUAAGGUUGCUUACUAGGGGUGUGUUGAUACCAUAAGUGAACUGUCAUCUUGCUACUGCUUAAUUUUAUCGGUCGGGAUGCAUUCCAAGGCACCAGCAGAUGCUGUUGCUUGUCUGUGUUGUGCAACAAGGGAAAAUAAUAGCAAAUGAAUGCAUUGUGUGUUUGUUUUUAUUUUGAUUGCAGUACACAAGAUUUAGGUUAAUGCUGUAGAUGAAUUUAAAUUAGUCUUAAAUCUUUGAUAAACGCAUAUUUGUUUUUUGUAAGUGAUGUUUAUUUUAUUUGAAUUUUUUUUAUUUAUACAUUUAUUGUAAACAUGGUGCUGUUUGGAACUGGCAGUUCGUGAACUUUUCAUCUUUUAUAUAACAUGGCAUUGUCAUAAUUCUGACGUGAUUUGUUUUGAAUGUGCUGUUACUUUUUUUUGUUGUUGGUAGACUUACAUUUUGUUGAAAGGUAUGCAGUUUUUUUUUCAGGUCAUUGUUUAGGUGUUUUCUGUAUAAGUUUAAUUUAAGAGAGUGGCAUUAGGGCUGUCGUUUAAACUAGAGUGAGCACAAACAGAAAUCGGCUCUUUUGAAUUCAGUAAUGAGAGGUCAUGAGUAAUCAUGAAAGGAAUAAGUUUGUUUUAAUGUCUUGUUUUGGUUUAUCCUUUUGCUUCUGAGAGAUUAAUGUGGUUAUGGUUUGAGGCUAUUUCUUGAGUCAAGGGGAAUUGUAUGUUGACUUUUUUCUGAAUGGAUAAAAGCCACUUGAUGUUAGUUUGUUUAUGUGUUCAGAUACAUGGCCCAGUUACAUUACAGGAGGCUUUUUAAGUUAGUUCAUAUCUGUACAAGGGAUACAGCUUUUGUUUUCAUUUUACUCUAUGCCUGUAGGGCCAUGUGGUACUAGAGAGUGGAGUUAUUGACCAGGUGACAGAAAUAAUGUCACUCACCAAGUGGGUAUCUGCUGGAUGACAGAAUUCUUGAGUCAUUUUUUAAGUGAGUAUCUACCAGUAGCACAAUUUGUUUUCUAUUAUGUUAGCAAUGACUACUUUGUGCUUGCCCAUGGCCUAAAAUAUUUAGUCCUUUUGGUGAUGUAAAUGCAGUCUGACAGUAUUUUGCUUUUAGUACCAAGUACUGUAUUAUUUUAUUCAUUUAUUUAUUUAUUUUGCAAACCCAAGCGUAUCAUUGCAGUUUGGUUGUCUUGUUCAAGCACAGUUACACUUUCAUUCUGGUUGAGGUUAGUAUUCUAAUUGUUUUGCUUAAGGAAACAGUGCUGCAACAUAAUCCUACUCUUGCAUUUUUUGUGUUGUUUAUUGUUUCAUCUCUGAGGACAGUACUGCAUGGUCACUCAUAUGAUUGGGCUAGUGUAACUACAUUUUGCUGCCUGUCUUUGCCACUAAAGGUGAGGCAAUAUUGGUUAAUAAGUUAAACACCAAACGUUAUGCAAAUAGGAAAGAGGAUAUCAGGUCGUGGGGUGAUUCAGUAUAAUCUGUUUCAUUUAGGAGAGAGAACUGUGUGGUUCUGUUUGGAGAGAUAAAGAGUCCCUUUCCUAACAGAGAAUCUGCUUUUAUUCCAGAAACACAGUAUCUUCCACAAAUAGAACCCUUCUUGAACAAUGAUGGUAGAACUAUGCUUGACACCUACCUGUCUAAGUUGCUAGAGGCAAUUUUGCAGCUUUGAUGAUGAUUGUCUAAUGGUAGAAUGUUGUGUGGUAGUGCAGGAGUUUCUGUUCAGACAGAAACUCCUGCACUUCUGAUCUGUUAAAUGACAUAUCACUUCUAAAUACAGAAGAAGAGAUAACAUAGAGGUCUAAAUAUGAGGGACAGGCAGCACAGAAGCUUGGACAAGAUAUGACAGUACAUCUUGCUUGCCAAGUUCGUAUCCAACUUCAGUAAGGCAGAUGUCUUUUUAUCUCUUGGAUAGGCAGUCAUAGGACAUUUCAACAUUGCUUGAGACCUUGGAAUGAUAUUGAGAACUACUUUAUCACCAAGGUUGUAGAGGUAUCCCUAAAGAAAAGGUAAGGGACGAAACAUAAUAUGUCAGCUUGGUCAGAGGUUAAUACACUGCACUGUUUAUGGUGGUUCAAACCUGGUCAUUGUAAGUAGAAUGCCAUCCAGGAUGUCAUCAAGAUUACUCAGUCAUUUGUGUUAAUACUUCAAGGGAUUCUGUUAUCUAGAGAAUGAUUCUACCAUUCUGUAACUUGUACUCUAUGGAGCACUGUAGCAAAAGUAAAAUAAUAGUUUUCUGAAUGCAAGACAUGAACAUUAUUUUAGGUUUUAAUCUUUUUAUAUUAUUUUUAGGUUAAAGGAACAGUAAGCCUACAGUACUUGUCCUUAUCAGUCCUGAGGAUGAUAGAACCAAAGAAAAUCAAUAGGACUUUCUUUUACCUAACUAAAGAGGUUCCUUGCAAGAAUUCUUACACAAAGCUAAGACUUUAUCUAAGGAAAAUGAAUCACAUUGAGGUAAAGUAAGUUCAUUCUUAUGCUUGUUCGUAAAGGGUUGAUUUUUUUUUUUCUUUUUUUAAUACAGCUUAAGGCUGAUGUAUAUUCAGAUGUAUGUUAGGAAACUUUGUAAUAUCUGAUGCUAUGAGGAAUUCAGUGUGUGGUGUUAGUCAGUUUCAGUUGUGGAUGAGAAAAUCUUUAUGAUUGAUAUGAAGGUAGUUGGAUGCAAGGAGGAGUAAGAGUAUUUUGUAUUCAGUAUUGAUACACAAGACUGGAAUCAGUGUGUUCAUGAAAUCCUUCUGUGGUAUUGAUUCAGAACAUAGUUCUAACUAAUUGAGGUGCAUUGUUAAUCAUUACUAAUUAAGAGUUAUGCUGCUAUUGUUGUAACUAUUAAUUUAAAAAUAUACUUGAAUGUAGUGGUAUACUUAGGAAUAAAAAAGACAAAAGUU